rnacentral:rRNA from 1 species
AGAGUUUUGAUCAUGGCUCAGAUUGAACGCUGGCGGCAGGCCUAACACAUGCAAGUCGAGCGGAAACGAGUUAUCAGAACCUUCGGGGGACGAUAACGGCGUCGAGCGGCGGACGGGUGAGUAAUGCCUAGGAAAUUUGCCCUGAUGUGGGGGAUAACCAUUGGAAACGAUGGCUAAUACCGCAUGAUGCCUACGGGCCAAAGAGGGGGACCUUCGGGCCUCUCGCGUCAGGAUAUGCCUAGGUGGGAUUAGCUAGUUGGUGAGGUAAGGGCUCACCAAGGCGACGAUCCCUAGCUGGUCUGAGAGGAUGAUCAGCCACACUGGAACUGAGACACGGUCCAGACUCCUACGGGAGGCAGCAGUGGGGAAAUAUUGCACAAUGGGCGCAAGCCUGAUGCAGCCCAUGCCGCGGUGUGUGAAGAAGGCUUCGGGUUGUAAAGCACUUUCAGUCGUGAGGAGGUAGUGUAUGUUAAUAGCUGCAUUAUUUGACGUUAGCGACAGAAGAAGCACCGGCUAAAACUCCGUGCCAGCAGCCGCGGUAAUACGGAGGGUGCGAGCGGCUUUAAUCGGAAAUUACUGGCGUAAAGCGCAUGCAGGUGUUUGUUAAGUCAGGAUGUGAAAAGCCCGGGGCUCAACCUCGGAAUUGAUUUUGAAAACUGGCAGACUAGAGGUACUGUAUGAGGGGGGUAGAAUUUCAGGUGUAGCGGUGAACAUUGCGUAGAGAUCUGAAGGAAUACCGGUGGCGAAGGCUGCCCCCUGGACAGAUACUGACACUCAGAUGCGAAAGCGUGGGGAGCAAACAGGAUUAGUACCCUGGUAGUCCACCUGCCGGUAAACGAUGUUCUACUUGGACCGUGUGGCCUUGAGCCGGUGGCUUUCGGAGGCUAACGCGUUAAGAAAAAAAAAAAAAAAAAAAAAAAAUAGACCGCCUGGGGGUACGGUCGCAAGAUUAAAACUCAAAUGAAUUGACGGCGGGCCCGCACAAAGCGGUGGAGCAUGUGUUUAAUUCGAUGCAACGCGAAGAACCUUACCUACUCUUGACAUCCAGAGAACUUUCCAGAGAUGGAUUGGUGCCUUCGGGAACUCUGAGACAGGUGCUGCAUGGCUGUCGUCAGCUCGUGUUGUGAAAUGUUGGGUUAAGUCCCGCAACGAGCGCAACCCUUAUCCUUGUUUGCCAGCGAGUAAUGUCGGGAACUCCAGGGAGACUGCCGGUGAUAAACCGGAGGAAGGUGGGGACGACGUCAAGUCAUCAUGGCCCUUACGAGUAGGGCUACACACGUGCUACAAUGGCGCAUACAGAGGGCGGCCAACUUGCGAAAGUGAGCGAAUCCCAAAAAGUGCGUCGUAGUCCGGAUUGGAGUCUGCAACUCGACUCCAUGAAGUCGGAAUCGCUAGUAAUCGUGGAUCAGAAUGCCACGGUGAAUACGUUCCCGGGCCUUGUACACACCGCCCGUCACACCAUGGGAGUGGGCUGCAAAAGAAGUAGGUAGUUUAACCUUCGGGGGAUCGCUUACCACUUUGGUGGUUCAUUGGACUGGGUGUGAAGUCGUAAAACAAGGUAGCGGCUAGGGGAACCUGGCGCUGGAUCACCU